GAUGAACGCUGGCGGCGUGCCUAAUACAUGCAAGUCGAGCGAACAGACGAGGAGCUUGCUCCUCUGACGUUAGCGGCGGACGGGUGAGUAACACGUGGAUAACCUACCUAUAAGACUGGGAUAACUUCGGGAAACCGGAGCUAAUACCGGAUAAUAUAUUGAACCGCAUGGUUCAAUAGUGAAAAACGGUUUUGCUGUCACUUAUAGAUGGAUCCGCGCCGCAUUAGAUAGUUGGUAAGGUAACGGCUUACCAAGGCAACGAUGCGUAGCCGACCUGAGAGGGUGAUCGGCCACACUGGAACUGAGACACGGUCCAGACUCCUACGGGAGGCAGCAGUAGGGAAUCUUCCGCAAUGGGCGAAAGCCUGACGGAGCAACGCCGCGUGAGUGAUGAAGGUCUUCGGAUCGUAAAACUCUGUUAUUAGGGAAGAACAAAUGUGUAAGUAACUAUGCACGUCUUGACGGUACCUAAUCAGAAAGCCACGGCUAACUACGUG
rnacentral:rRNA from 1 species